rnacentral:misc_RNA from 1 species
GAUGAAGAACGCAGCGAAAUGCGAUAAGUAAUGUGAAUUGCAGAAUUCAGUGAACCAUCGAAUCUUUGAACGCACAUGGCGCCCGGCAGUAAUCUGCCGGGCAUGCCUGUCCGAGCGUCAGUUCUGCCCUCGAGCGAGUCCAGCAUCUAGGUGCUGGGCCCGCCCGGCGUUGGGGCACUACGGGAAGCCCUGUGCUGUCCCCCGUAGGCCCCGAAAUGAAGUGGCGGUCCUGCCGCGGCGCCCCCUGCGUAGUAUAACAGCUCGCUUCGGGACCCGGUGGAGGCCUGCCGUCAAACCUUACUCUCUAAGUUUGACCUCGGAUCAGGUAGGGUUACCCGCUGAACUUAAGCAUAUCAAUAAGCGGAGGA